rnacentral:rRNA from 1 species
GGUUUGAUUAUAGUGAUUGAACGCUGGCGGGAUGUCUUUACACAUGCAAGUCGAACGGCAGCACGGACUUCGGUCUGGUGGCGAGUGGCGAACGGGUGAGUAAUGUAUCGGAACGUGCCUAGUAGCGGGGGAUAACUACGCGGCGUAGCUAAUACCGCAUACGCCCUUCAGGGAAAGCGGGGACCUUCGGGCCUCGCACUAUUAGAGCGGCCGAUAUCGGAUUAGCUAGUUGGUGGGGUAACGGCUCGCAAAGGCGACGAUCCGUAGCUGGUUUGAGAGGACGACCAGCCACACUGGGACUGAGACACGGCCCAGACUCCUACGGGAGGCAGCAGUGGGGAAUUUUGGACAAUGGAAACCCUGAUCCAAUACCAUCCCGCGUGUGCGAUGAAGGCCUUCGGGUUGUAAAGCACUUUUGGCAGGAAAAGAAACGGCUGGGAUAGUAAUACCCCGUGCAACUGACGGUACCUGCGGAAUAAGCACCGGCUAACUACGUGCCAGCAGCCGCGGUAAUACGUAGGGUGCAAGCGUUAAUCGGAAUUACUGGGCGUAAAGCGUGCGCGGGCGGUUCGGAAAGAAGAUGUGAAAUCCCAGAGCUUAACUUUGGAACUGCAUUUUUAACUACCGAGCUAGAGUGUGUCAGAGGGAGGUGGAAUUCCGCGUGUAGCAGUGAAUAUGGUAUUACCGGAGGAACACCGAUGGCGAAGCAGCCUCCUGGGAUAACACUGACGCUCAUGCACGAAAGCGUGGGGAGCAAACAGGAUUAGAUACCCUGGUAGUCCACGCCUAAACGAUGUCAACUAGCUGUUGGGGCCUUCGGGCAUGGUAGCGCAGCUAACGUAGGGUUGUACGCCUGGGGAGUACGGUCACAAGAUUAAAACUCAAAGGAAUCGACGGGGACCCGCACAAGCGGUGGAUGAUGUGGAUUAAUUCGAUGCAACGCGGCGAAAACCUUACCUACCCUUGACGCCACUCUGGAAUCCCGAAGAGAUUUGGGAGUGCUCGCAAGAGAACCGGAACACAGGUGCUGCAUGGCUGUCGUCAGCUCGUGUCGUGAGAUGUUGGGUUAAGUCCCGCAACGAGCGCAACCCUUGUCAUUAGUUGCUACGAAGGGCACUCUAAUGAGACUGCCAGUGACAAACCGGAGGAAGGUGGGGAUGACGUCAAGUCCUCAUGGCCCUUAUGGGUAGGGCUUCACACACGUCAUACAAUGGUCGGGACAGAGGGUCGCCAACCCGCGAGGGGAAUAUUCCCAGAAACCCGAUCGUAGUCCGGAUCGCAGUCUGCAACUCGACUGCGUGAAGUCGGAAUCGCUAGUAAUCGCGGAUCAGCAUGUCGCGGUGAAUACGUUCCCGGGUCUUGUACACACCGCCCGUCACACCAUACAAGGUGGGUUUUACCCAGAAGUAGUUAGCCUAACCGUAAGGAGGGCGAUUACCACGGUAGGAUUCAUGACUGGGGUGAAGUCGUAACAAGGUAA